rnacentral:rRNA from 1 species
GGUGGUGCAUGGCCGUUCUUAGUUGCCAGCGGGUAAAGCCGGGAACUCUAGGGAGACUGCCGGUGCCAAACCGGAGGAAGGUGGGGAUGACGUCAAGUCAUCAUGCCCCUUAUGUCCAGGGCUGCACGCAUGCUACAAUGCGCGGUACAAAGGGCUGCGAUCCCGCAAGGGGGAGCGAAUCCCAAAAAGCCGCGCUCAGUUCGGAUCGGGGUCUGCAACCCGACCCCGUGAAGUCGGAGUCGCUAGUAAUCGCAGAUCAGCAAUGCCGCGGUGAAUACGUUCCCGGGCUUUGUACACACCGCCCGUCGCU